CGGCGGCGGAGAGCCCCGCGCGGGGCGCCGUGAAGCUACCGCAGUCGGUCCCCCUUGUACA
rfam:Thermoproteus neutrophilus V24Sta, complete genome.